rnacentral:tRNA from 1 species
GGUAGCCCAGUUGGUUGGGCGCCAGACUGCAGAUCGAGCGGGAGGUCGCGGGUUCGAAUCCCGGCAGGACCA